GGCAGUGUGGCAUAGUGGUUUGAGUGUUGGGCUAAAACUCUAGAGACCAGGAUUCAAUUCUCCACUUUGCUA